GCAGUGUUUGUGCAGCUCUCAGUCCUCCUACUGAGCUGCUUCGCUGUCUUCGGUGAUGUAAUUACCACUUUACCCGCCAUUCCUCCACACCACAGCAUUCACUAUUCUCACCCAGUAGCUUCCCCAACCCACCCACCGGCACACCCGCCUACUCACGGCCACCACCACCACCACCCACACCCACACCCACACCCACACCCUCCCACUCACUCUCCGGUCCACCCACCAGCUCACUCUCCGGUCCACCCACCAGCCCACUCUCCGGUCCACCCACCAGCCCACUCUCCGGUUCACCCACCAGCCCACUCUCCGGUUCACCCACCAGCCCACUCUCCGGUUCACCCACCAAACCCCCACCACCACCACCACGGCCACCCACCGGCCCACGCUCCCACUCACGUCCCGGUUCAGCCUCCGAGCCACCCUCCAACCCACCAUGCACCAACUCCUCACCCUCCGGCUCACAGCCCGGUACACCCACCGGUUCACCCACCUAUGUACCCACCUAAGAAGCCUUUCCCAAGGAGCUUUGUAGCGGUUCAAGGCGUCGUUUACUGCAAGUCUUGCAACUACUCCGGCGUCGACACCCUUAACGGCGCCAAGCCAGUUCUUGGU
rnacentral:lncRNA from 1 species